GGGCUCGUAGCUCAGCAAGGCAGAGCAACGGGCUUUUAACCCGUUGGUCGUGGGUUCAAAUUCCGUCGAGCCCA
rnacentral:tRNA from 1 species